rnacentral:rRNA from 1 species
AUGCUUUACACAUGCAAGUCGAACGGUAACAGGGUGCUUGCACCGCUGACGAGUGGCGAACGGGUGAGUAACGCAUCGGAAUGUACCGUGUAAUGGGGGAUAGCUCGGCGAAAGCCGGAUUAAUACCGCAUACGCCCUGAGGGGGAAAGUGGGGGACCGUAAGGCCUCACGUUAUACGAGCAGCCGAUGUCUGAUUAGCUAGUUGGUGAGGUAAGAGCUCACCAAGGCGACGAUCAGUAGCGGGUCUGAGAGGAUGAUCCGCCACACUGGGACUGAGACACGGGCCAGACUCCUACGGGAGGCAGCAGUGGGGAAUUUUGGACAAUGGGCGCAAGCCUGAUCCAGCCAUGCCGCGUGUCUGAAGAAGGCCUUCGGGUUGUAAAGGACUUUUGUUCGGGAGGAAAUCCCGCUGGUUAAUACCUGGCGGGGAUGACAGUACCGGAAGAAUAAGCACCGGCUAACUACGUGCCAGCAGCCGCGGUAAUACGUAGGGUGCAAGCGUUAAUCGGAAUUACUGGGCGUAAAGCGUGCGCAGGCGGUUUUGCAAGUCUGAUGUGAAAGCCCCGGGCUCAACCUGGGAACGGCAUUGGAGACUGCAAGACUAGAGUGCGUCAGAGGGGGGUAGAAUUCCGCGUGUAGCAGUGAAAUGCGUAGAGAUGCGGAGGAAUACCGAUGGCGAAGGCAGCCCCCUGGGAUGACACUGACGCUCAUGCACGAAAGCGUGGGGAGCAAACAGGAUUAGAUACCCUGGUAGUCCACGCCCUAAACGAUGUCAAUUAGCUGUUGGGGGUUUGAAUCCUUGGUAGCCGUAGCUAACGCGUGAAAUUGACCGCCUGGGGAGUACGGCCGCAAGGGUAAAACUCGAAUCCUUGGUAGCGUAGCUAACGCGUGAAAUUGACCGCCUGGGGAGUACGGCCGCAAGGUUAAAACUCAAAGGAAUUGACGGGGACCCGCACAAGCGGUGGAUGAUGUGGAUUAAUUCGAUGCAACGCGAAAAACCUUACCUGCUCUUGACAUGUACGGAACUUGCCAGAGAUGGCUUGGUGCCCGAAAGGGAGCCGUAACACAGGUGCUGCAUGGCUGUCGUCAGCUCGUGUCGUGAGAUGUUGGGUUAAGUCCCGCAACGAGCGCAACCCUUGUCAUUAGUUGCCAUCAUUUAGUUGGGCACUCUAAUGAGACUGCCGGUGACAAACCGGAGGAAGGUGGGGAUGACGUCAAGUCCUCAUGGCCCUUAUGAGCAGGGCUUCACACGUCAUACAAUGGUCGGUACAGAGGGUCGCUAAGCCGCGAGGUGGUGCCAAUCUCAUAAAACCGAUCGUAGUCCGGAUCGCACUCUGCAACUCGAGUGCGUGAAGUCGGAAUCGCUAGUAAUCGCAGAUCAGCAUGCUGCGGUGAAUACGUUCCCGGGUCUUGUACACACCGCCCGUCACACCAUGGGAGUGAGUUUCACCAGAAGUGGGUAGGCUAACCGCAAGGAGGCCGCUUACCACGGUGGGAUUCAUGACUGGGGUGAAGUCGUAACAAGGUA